rnacentral:rRNA from 1 species
GACGAACGCUGGCGGCGUGCUUAACACAUGCAAGUCGAACGGACAGGCCCUGCUCUUGUGGGUUGCUCGAUUGGCGAACGCGUGAGUGUCACGUGAGUAUCCUGCCCUUGACUUUGUGAUAACUUCUGGAAACUGCGGCUCAUACCGGAUAGGAGCUCCUGCUGCAUGGUGUGGGUUGGAAAGUUUCGGCGGUUGGGGAUGGACUCGCGGCUUAUCAGCUUGUUUGUGGGGUAGUGGCUGACCAAGGCUUUGACGGGUAGCCUGCCUGAGAGGGUGACCGGCCACAUUGGGACUGAGAGACGGACCAGACUCCUACGGGAGGCAGCAGGGGGGAAUAUUGCACAAUGGGCGGAAGCCUGAUGCAGCAACGCCGCGUGCGGGAUGACGGCCUUCGGGUGGUAAACAGCUGUCGCCUGUGACGAAGAGUGAGUGACGGUAAUGGGUAAAGAAGCACCGGCUAACUACGUG